rnacentral:lncRNA from 1 species
AUUCAUCCUAAAUUUGGAGAGUAAGUUCUUGAAAUCGCCCUCUACAUUUCUACUGGUGUUGAUCUGUAUUUUAUUCUCUCUGUAGCUUGAGAUACCCACUUAUUGUAGAAAUAGAUCUUAGAUCUAUUAUUGUAAGCCAAGAUUAUUGCGAAUCUUGAUGUUGUUAGUCUCUAGUGUUAUCUGAAAAAGAAUUUAUACUGUAAUCUCAUUAAUAUAGUGGAAGUUUAUAUCAGACUACGGUCCCGUGAUUUUUUUCGAUUUGGGUUUUCCACGUAAAAAUCGGUGUCUCUUGUGGUUGGUUUUUGCUUUGGAUUUAUUGGUUUAUUUUUCUACAUAUUUAUUUAUGUUACACAUCCUAUUUUAAUCACACAAAGAGGGAAAAAGUUUUGUUUCCACUUAAUUUCCAACUGCUUGUGGUAGUCCCUUUCCCAACACGAACAAAUGAGGUCGAAGGAAUGGCGUUAAAACAUUAAAAGGAAAAUUUAUCUUGGAAGCAUAAGGAAGUAUACUUUCAUUGAGAACAAAAUGUGUCAAAAACUAAUUAAUGAACGAAUUGGACAACUAAUCUCUCAUAUAGGUAACGUUCCCCAUUGGAUCCAAUCUACUGCGUAAACCAAGAAAAAUGAAUUGUACAAGAAAUAAAAAAAAUUGUCAUGUCACCAAUCAUUGCUUUUUAUAGCAACAUCAUGAUCCAUUCAACCCAGAAGUGAGAUUAAUGAAGAUGUCUUCUCUGUAGGGAAUAGUGAGACCACCCAUUGGAUUAUUGUAACCAAAUUCUUCUUCAGCUUUUGAUAACAAUUCUUGAAAUGGAGGCUGACUCAAGAAUGACACAGGUGUUGAUGCGAGUUUCUGGUUUUCUACUCGUCCACGACCAGGAUCUCUCCUCAACUAACUCAUCUACGACCAGGAUCUCUCCUCGUAAGAGUCCCUCUCCGCAAACUCCUGCGUACACAAAGACAGGUCAGAGCACGCUGGGUGUUUUCCCGGCGUAAACCCUCCGACGCUCAAGUCAGAAAUAUAAACUUUGCCUUUUUGGGAAAAACGACCACUAAUCUUAUGGCUCUUUUUGUAUCUCUCGGUAGAAAAACUCUUUUCUUAAGUUCUAAUUUCCAAAAAUCUAACCCUUUUACCUUCGUUGGUUACCUUUUUAUAGGCUUCUCUUGAAUUCGGGCCUUCCCACGAUCCACGUCCAUCACCUUCCCGACUCUUGGAAGUGGAUGCUCCAUUAUCGUAGUCGUGGCUGGAUGGACUUCGUGCCUGAUUCUCAGGCAGGAGUGCACGUCUCACCAACCGUCAUUGACCGGGUCUCCCCACCUCAACCUCGAGCAGGAAUGACCUUAUGCUCCUAGUAGGAGGCCGGCUCCUGCUGUGGCCCCGUGGAGGGUACAUUCGUGAACGAGCAGAGUAGUCUUGUUCGUAUUCACCUGCUACCAGGCUUCUGUAAAAUAUACCUAUUCGCGGAAUCCGGCUACCUGAUACUUGCUCGUCAUGGCUGGCCUUGUCGAAGUAUAUCCCCCAAACACCGGUCCCCCAAUUUCUGGUGUUGGGUAACGUAGUGGACCAGCAGUAGAAAUUCAACAAUUCUGGUUCGUACAGGAUAAGAAGAGGCUUUGGGGAGUUGUGUCGCAUUUAAUUGCGGAUGAGGUGAUGUGGUAGAAAUCUAUCCCUCCAUUUGAAUUUCAAACCGAUGGCUAUGAGACCUUUGGAAUUCGUGCCGUUAAAUGCUGAGAGCCCAAGAGUUUGUUCCUCAUUAGGGAACCCAAAACCCCAAAAGGAAAACUCGUCUUUUAUCCCUCUUCUACCUCUCCGGCAACUGAGUCAUUCCCCUCCCUCGGCGCAAAAGCUACCGUCCUUGUCUCUAUUCGACUGGGCCACAAUUGCAGGUAUUAUUUCUAUUUCCUCGGUCUUGGAUAGUUAUAGAAAAUUUCUUUUCUCUCUGUUUUGCUUGGGUUGUAUUUGGUGAUAUUGCUCUGGUCAUAGUUUAGGAAAUGUCAAAAGGCAAAGAGAAGGUAAUUGAGAUUGAUGACGAUGAGUUAGACUUCUUGCCUAGUCUGCUCGCCGAUUUUGUCUUUGAUCCCGGGAUCCCCUUAGAACCCAUUAGAUCUAGUGUUGGGACUAGUGCUAAGAGGAUGUCUCCCCAAGUAACCUCCUCAACCAGCAAUAGCGGCGACGAGGGAUCUUCUGGUUUGGAAGCCACCUUGAGUGAGGACCAGGGAGAAGAUUCUGGUGAAAUGUCCUCACCAGGAACAUCGCGACCAGAUAGGAAGAGCAAAAUAGAAAGUAGGGCUCUAUCGGAGCAUUACGCUAUUGACUUCAUUACGUGCAUGACCACAGUAGACGACCUUGAUGACCUCCAGGCUAGGUAUGACAUUCCUGAUGAUAUACCCCUUAGGAUCCCAAGAAAAAAAGAUACUCUCAGCCGGCCUCCUAGGGGAUACGUUACUCUGUUUCUGGGAAGUUUUAAGUUCGGGAUGAAGUGCCCCAUACAACCCUAUUUUGCCCAAAUACUUAGUGGGUUGAACUUAGCUCCUGGUCAACUGAACCCCAACGGGUGGAGGGUACUUUUUGGUGUUUUCAUACUGUGGGACAGAUGCUGCCAUUGCGAGCCUACAGUUGAUGAGGUAAAGCACCUGUACCAGCUAAAGAGCAGCCCUAAAGACGCCGGCUAGUAUUACUUCAUGUCAAGUACCAAGACCAGGAAACCCAUAACUGAUCUUCUAACUGGUGGUGGUGGGAAUUGGAAGAAAAAAUUCUUUUUUGCUGGGGGUCUCUAGGGUCAAGUUACAUAGAUUGACUGGAAGAACUAUCGCGUCCCACUCCGUUUCGUGGUCCCAGGUUGCCUGCUCACUUUAGAUGUCUUGUAUCCCUAGUUGUUCUCAUUCUGUUGAUUUAUCUCUAACCCAAUAUCUGCUCGUACUGCAGGUUCUUAGGGUGUGCACUACCAGCUUAAACCUGAGCCGCUCAAGCAAGUCGAGGCUGUGUUAGCCAAUUCCUGCUUAAGCCGAGAGUUGCUGUCUACUUAUAACUUGUUCGAAUCUCGUUUGGUGUCCACUAACCUUACGAUGGAAGAUGCUGUGAUCGGGGCUCUGAAUCAGAAGCGUCCUCGACCUCAGGCUGCUAAGCGGGACCAGAAUAAGGAUGCUCCCAUUGCGAAAUAGGCGAACAUUGCGAAGCAAGUCCCCUCCUUGAGGACUCUACCACCUCCUCCUACUAAAGUCGGCGAAACUAGUGAAACAGCCCCUGACCCCACUUCUCCUUCUCCACCAGCUGGGUCAAAAUCUCGUCUGCCUGACAAUCAAGCAGAGCAUCUGGUCCCUUAUAUCAGUGAGUUUUCUAGGUUCGUGAGCAAAAAGGACUUGGAGGACUUUGACGGCAGCACUUUGGGUGAGCUGGUAGGGGCUAUGCAGUAUAGUAUUUUUCAUCUCGGCUGCAUGGCCACUUACUAUAAGGUGAAGGUCAGCCGCUAUGACCGAAAGAUGAGAGAGGACGUUCAAUUGGCCAAAACCAGAGCUGACGCUGCCGAGAAGAAAGCUGGAGAUCUCAACCUCGAGAAUCUCUCGUGCAGGCAAAGGCAAUCACUCUCGAGGAAGAGCUGACUAAGAUCAGGGAGGAUCUGUAGAGGCAAAAGGCUACUUACGAGGCUCAGCUCGAAUCUCUCAAGGAUUCCCACCGGGUUCAGGUCGAGAACUUGGAGAAGGAAGCUGACAACCAAUAUGACCAGGGGCUUCGGCAUUCUUAUUGCUGCAUCAUGGCCGUCCUUGGGAAGCAGCAUCCUGAUCUGAAGAUGGACGAGCUUGCUGCUGGUGUUGCUCAAUAUAUGGAUGAGGAGGCAGCCAAAGAAGAUGUCGAAGAGUUGGAGCCAAAUGCCACUAAGGAGGGAACCUCUCCUCCUCGUGCAAUUCCUACUGAUGUUGCCGAGGCAAGUACCCCUCCAGGGGCAAGUGGUGAAACCCCCCCUGCUCCUGAGGUGGAGCAGCCAGUAGGUGCGGCCCAGCUUACUGACCCGCCGUCCUCUUGAAUGUAUCUUGUGUUGUGGUUGUUGUUGAGUGUUAGAAAAUGCAUAUUUAUAAAGGAGAAAACCGUCAUUUUACAUUUCAAGUCUUACUAACAACCCUUACUUUUAUGUAUUUAACAUUCUUAUGAUUUAAUUACGUGUGUUUUAUUUUAAUUAAGUAAUUUAUGUAUUUUAGGGGCAUUAUAGUCAUUUCACAAUAAAGGAGAGAUCAGACGGCAAAACGGACAUCACUUUUGAACUCAGGACGGUCGAAAACCUUAGGAGGAGCAUAAAAGGAAAAAUGGCACUAUUCACAUGUACGGUACUAUUCACGUGUACGAUACUGUAUACGUUACUGUUCACGACACUGUUCACAUAGACGGAUGAUGACGUGGCAUUGACCGAUGAUGUGGCAUUGACUGAUGAGGUGUCACGAUCCUGUUGGACUAAAAUUCUUAUGUACUGUUGAUGGUGACGUGGCAGCAUAUCAGUAGACGAAAAAUCUCGCGUACGGUGCAUGCAUCACACAGGAUUAUUUUCAACCAAACCGCGUUACUGUUCAUCCGGGUCAAACCGCGUUACUGUUCAAAGUCGGGUCAAACCGUGUUACUGUUCAUCCGCGUGGUCAAACCGUGGACUGUUGACUGAUGACGUGGCGCAAUCCUGGGCGUCCAAACUGUUUUUAAUCCGAUGGCCAUGAUUUACUCCAUGUAUCUAUAAAAAGGGGGCCUCCCCCCCCCUAAUUUGAUAUCUCUGAAUCCAUUUUUGGGAUCCAUUUUCUGUAAUUCCCUCUCCAUCUUGUAUUUUCUUCGUAUUUUAAUAAAUUCCCAUUUUGCCCCUAGUUCAACUAUGAGUGGCUAAUUUUCUUUCAAGCUUGGGUUGAAGGUGAAGUCUCAACAUGUGUCAUGGGCUUUAUUUGGUAAAUUUAUUUUCUCUUCCCCUCUAGUUUUUGUGGAUGUUUUGACUUCUCGUCGACAAAUAAUACUAAUCUUGUCUAGUACCGCCUUGGUUUCACCGGCCCUCUAGUACAAGGUUAUUAUUAUUUGGCACGAUAAGCCCUUAGCACCAUAUUGAUUAGAGCGUGGUUCAUGAGGUGUGGAUUCCCCCCUCAUGAUUUAAUUGGCAUUAAUACGGAUUAUUUAGCCCAUGAUGCAUGUUGAUACGGAUCCAGAUACCCAAGUACGUCAUUUCAAUAUAAUUCUCAUCAAUUUAUUCUCGCCAUUUCAAUACCAAUUUCAGAAUUUAUUCUCGCCAUUUCAAUACCAAUUUCAGAAUUUAUCCUCGCCAUUUUAAUUUAAGUUUUAGCAUAUACCAAAUCAUUUCCACCAUAAAUCCAACAACCCAUUUACAAAAUUAAUUCUAAACACAAUUAAAAUCCACCUCCUCGUGGGAUCGACACUCGUCACCAUAGAUCUAUACUACAAUAGAUUCGUGCGCUUGCGAGUACAUUAAAAUUUGCACAACAGUUGUUUGUAUGUUAAGACUAGCAGCUUUUCAUAAUUACUGGCAGAUUAAUAAGAAUGUUCUUAUUUGCUUUCUUUCGCCUCGAGCUCUUGGCAAAUUAAUUUAUUUUUUGUUCUCCUAUAAUAUGGUCGAGCAGGUGCCGAAACGUUCGGCUUACCGUUGCCUUAUGUUUGAGAAUAUGCUCGCCUUCGCUUGGUCGAGCAGAUCCUGGCGCGCUUGGCUUUUGGUCUCGCCAUAAAACAUGCUUUGAGACUUAGCCUUUGUAUGCCUUAGGAAUUUUUACAACACUUGAGGGUCUACUCGCCUUCGCUUGGUCAAGCAGAUCCUGGCACGCUUGGCUUUUGGUCUCGCCAUAAAACAGGCUUUGAGAUUUGGUGAGCCUUUGCAUGCCUUAGAAAUUUUUAUAGUACUUGAGGGUCUGCUCGCCUUCGCUUGGUCGAGUAGAUCCUGGCACGCUUGACUUCUGGUCUUGCCAUAAAACAGGCUUUAAGACUUAGUGAGCCUUUGCAUACCUUAGAAUUUUUUAUAGUACUUGAGGGUUUGCUCGCCUUCGCUUGGUCGAGCAGAUCCAAGCAUGCCUGGCUUCUGGUUUCACCAUAAAACAAGGUUUGAGACUUGGUGAGCCUUUGCAUGCCUUAGAAAUUUUUAUAACAUUACAACUGACUGAAAUUCCUCAUGGUUUCAUUGAUUAUUGAAUUCGGCUUACAUGAGAUUGAUUUAACAUAAAGCGAAUAGCAACAAAAGCGAACAGAAAUGACUUUAAAUCAGGAACGAGUCUUACUAGAAAUAUUUUCUUAGGUGUGCUGCAUUUCAGGGGCGUUUCACCUCAUGGCCAUCCGCACGAACAAGCUUAUAGGUUCCGGGUCCAGCUACCUGUUUGACCCUAUAUGGCCCCUCCCAGUUUGGUCCGAGUACUCCUUAUGUCGAGUCUUUCGUGUUUGAUUCACCCUUCUUAGUACCCAAUCGCCGACCUUGAACUGUCGUAUACACACCUUCUGGCUGUAAUACUGAGCAACCCUCUGCUGGUAGAUGACUGAUCGCUUCGAUGCUUGCUUCCUCUUCUCGGUCAACAAAUCCAGAUUCAGGCACAUCUGGUCGUUGUUUUCCUUCUCAUCGAAGUGAUCUGUACGGUGCGUGGUCGUCUCGUCCCUAUCUCGACCGGUACAAUAGCUUCAUGUCCGAAGGCCAAUGCGAAUGGAGUUUCGCCGGUUGUUGUUUUGUGGGUUGUCAUGUACGCCCAUAAUACACCUGGUAGCUCAUCAACCCAUACACCUUUUUUUGCUCCAAGCCUGGUUUUCAAAAGCCUCUUGAUUAUCUUGUUGGCUGCUUCUACUUGUCCGUUAGACUGAGGGUGAGCAGGCGAGCAAUACUUUAACUCUAUCCCGAGGUUCUGGCAGAAGUCCCUGAAAUUAUAGUUGUCAAACUGCCUGCCAUUGUCUGCUAUCAGGGCGUAAGGGAUCCCGUACCGAUAGACCAGUUUUCUCCAUACGAAGUCAGUUGUCUUUUUCUUUGUGAUCCUAUUGAGGGCUUCCACCUCUAUCCACUUUGUGAAAUAGUUUACCGCUACUAUUGCAUGUGUUGCAGCCCCUCAUCCCUUUGGCAAUGGCUCAAUCAAAUCAAUUCCUCAUUGAGCAAAUGGCCAUGGCGAGGCCAUGGAAGUGAGCUUCUCUGGUGGUUGGGUAAAGAAAUUUGCAAAACUCUGGCAACUCGAGCAACUCCUGGUUUUCUCCUGCGCAUCCUGGUGCAUCGUCGGCCAGAAGUAUCCCUGCCUUAAAGCCUUGUGGGCAAGGGACCUCGCGCCAGAAUGGUUUUCGCAAAUUCCUUCAUGUACUUCUCUCAGUACGUAAUCUGCGUCGUCCUCAUCCAAACGCCGAAAGAACGAUAGGGUAUAUCCCCACCGAUAUAAUACCCCAUCAAUCAUUGUGUACCUCGACGCCUGGGCUCUAAUCUUCCGAGCUCGUAACUUAUCUGGUGGUAAUACUCCAUCCCUGAUGUACGAGAUUAUCGGGUUCAUCCACGAGCAUUUCUGUUCUAUCCGCAGCACCUCCAAAUUAUGCUCGAUGCUAGGGCUGGACUUCACCUCCAAAGGGACUGACUUAGGCAUUUUCAGAUCUGCUACCGUUGCCAUCCUGGCCAGAAUAUCUGCUCGACUAUUCUCCUCCCUUGGGAUUUGUAUCAACCACCUCAAACUUCCUAAUCAUUUGCUUGACUUUCUUUAAGUACUGUUCCAUUUUCCCAUCUCUCGGCUGAAACCUUUCACUGACAUGAUUUGCAACUAGUUGGGAAUCAGUUCGGUUUUUACCUUAUCCGCUUUCACUGCCUUAGCCAAUUCCAAGCCCACUAUUAGAGCUCCGUAUUCUGCCUGGUUAUUUGUGGUAGUGAAUGUUAACCUUACAGCAUAUGAGAUCUCCUGCCCUUCUGGGCCUUCAAAAAACAAUCCCUUCUCCAGACCUCUGCUCCCUUGAGGAUCCAUCCACCGACACCUGCCAUACCCGAUCUUCGUUGUUGGCUGUAGCAGCAUCCAGCUGGUCAAAACCUAUUUCAGGCUCUGCGAAUUCUGCCAUGAAAUCGGCCAUUGCCUGGGCCUUUAUUGCUGCUCGGGGUUUAUAACUUAUAUCGAACUCGCUCAACUCUAUGGCCCAUUUCACUAGCCGAUCAGAAGCAUUCGGCUUGUGGAGAGUCUGUCGUAACGGUUGGUUUGUUAUUACUGAGAUGGGAAAUGCUUGAAAGUAUGGCCUCAGCUUCCGAGCAACAACCACAAGAGCAAGUGCCCAUUUCUCUAACGGUGGAUAUUUGGUCUCGGCACCAAGCAGGGCCUUGCUUGUGUAAUAUAUCGGAUAUUGAACCCCUUCUUCCUCCCUCACUAGAACAGAACUCGUGGCAUGAUCCGAUACCGCCAUAUAUAGGAACAGCACGUCCCCCUCCCGCGUUGUGGACAACAAAGGUGCUUGCUGUAAAUAUUGCUUCAAAUUCUGGAAGGCUUCUUCGCAUUCAGAGGUCCAUUCUGUUUUCUUUCUCCUCCUUAUUACUUGAAAAAAUGUCUGGCACUUAUCUUUUGCCUUGGAUAUGAACCGACUCAACGCUGCCAACCUCCCCGUAAGGCUUUGUAUCUCCCUCAGGUUACGAGGAGAUCUCAUCUGCACGAUUGCUUGGAUCUUCUCGGGAUUAGAGGUGACCUGGCCCCCUGCACCACUGCCUGAGGCAUAAUGGUCCUUCCUCUUAAUCGACCUAUUUCCUAGUAGAGCUCUCUUCUCUUUCCUCCUCAACCCUUCCAGCUGAUCUGUCUUAACCCGUGCUGCCUUCUCAUCCUCAAUCUCUAUGUCCCUCUUGGCCUAUUCGUAAGCAGCUGAAUAUGUUUUAAAAGCAAGAUUCCUCAAAUUGUACCACAGCCGUCCUAUCUUCACCCAUUCUUUCAAUCCCUUUAAUGCUUGAGGAUGGUUGAAAGCUCCCAAAUUGAGGACAACACGAUGGAACCUUUUGAUGAAUUCCCGAAGGGUUUCCUCCUCUCCCUGCUUCAUGCUCGUCAGCUCCAUCAUAUCAACUUCAGGUGUCAUUGCCCCACAAAACUGCUCCGUAAAUUGCUGGCACAUCUGCUCGAAGGAUUUAACGCUCCCUCGAGGAAGUUUCCGGUACCACUGACGUGCUCGUCCCUCUAGAGACAGCGGGAAACCCCGUAUCUUUGAGCUUGGGAUAAUCCUUGCACCCCAGUUAUGUCGUUAAAGCGUUCUAUGUGCACCAACGGAUCGGUUCGCCCCGAGUAUCUGAGGUCUGGGAGGCAAAAAUCCCUCGGAAUGACUGCCCUCAUGAUUUCUACCGAGAGUGGGGAUUCUCCAUCCAGCAUUAUCCUCCAACCAGGUGCUCUGCUCCGUCCUUGCAUAUCAUUUAUUAUCUGCGCUAAUCUGCGCACUUCUUCUUCCAGUUGUACGGUACGACCAGGGUCACGUGCUGCAACCUGAUCUCGCUCCUGGCCAACAUCGUGCAAGUGUUGCCGGAGUUCUCUUUCCUCUGCAUUCGCCACCCCGUCAUCGUUAUCAAAGAUCUGUCUUCCCGGGGAUUGAUCUUCUUCUCUAUGGCUUUCUCCCCGUAGAGAAAAGUUACCCCCCUCACCACCAAAUCUUUUGGUGGUCCGACCUCUCAUUAUAUUGUCGUGCCUUGGUGUCACUCUGCCACUUCUCACCCCCUCCUUUUGAACUCCCCUUCGUUUGCUUCUCAACUCGUGUAGGAUGGUUGUCAGGGUCUCCAUCUGUUACAUCCGCUCAUACAUUGCUUUUUCUCGUGCUUCGUUGGCUAUCUCUCUCAACGUCACGGACUCGUUAAGCCUCAAGUCACCUCCUUGUGCACUGCCUCCUCCUACAUCCAUUGUUCCCUCACUCCAUUUCCUCUUCUUCUCUCUAAUAACAGAAGCUUUUUGCUCAGCUCCCCACAGACGGCGCCAAAAUAUUGAUGCGAGAUUUUGGUUUUCUACUCGUCCACGACCAGGAUCUCUCCUCAACUAACUCGUCUACGACCAAGAUCUCUCCUCGUAAGACUCCCUUUCUGAUCUUUUCUGAUCUCUCGGUAGAAAAAUUCUUUUCUUAAGUUCUAAUUUCUAAAAAUCUAACCCUUUUACCUUCGUUGGUUACCUUUUUAUAGGCUUCCCUUGAAUUCAGGCCUUCCCACGAUCCACGUCCAUCAUCUCCCCGACUCUCGGAAGUGGAUGCUCCAUUAUCGUAAUCGUGACUGGAUGGACUUCGUGCUUGAUUCUCAGGCAGGAGUGCACGUCUCGCCAACCGUCAUUGACCAGGUCUCCCCACCUCAACCUCAAGUAGGAACGGCCUUAUGCUCCUAGUAGGAGGCCGGCUCCUACUGUGGCCCCGUAGAGGGUACAUUCGUGAACGAGCAGAGUAGUCCUGUUUGUAUUCACCUGCUACCAGACUUCUGCAGAAUAUACCUGUUCACGGAAUCCGACUACCCGAUACCUGCUCGUCAUGGCUGGCCUUGUCGAAGUAUACCCCCCAAACAACAGGAAUUAUGAAUCUCUUCUUUUGUGACCUCUCCCCGACAUAGACUACGAGGUAUCCUUUUGGCACAUCUCUAGACACCGAAGCUGUUGCUGCUUGAUUC